GAUGAACGCUGGCGGCGUGCCUAAUACAUGCAAGUCGAGCGAACGGACGAGAAGCUUGCUUCUCUGAUGUUAGCGGCGGACGGGUGAGUAACACGUGGAUAACCUACCUAUAAGACUGGGAUAACUUCGGGAAACCGUAGCUAAUACCGGAUAAUAUUUUGAACCGCAUGGUUCAAAAGUGAAAGACGGUCUUGCUGUCACUUAUAGAUGGAUCCGCGCUGCAUUAGCUAGUUGGUAAGGUAACGGCUUACCAAGGCAACGAUGCAUAGCCGACCUGAGAGGGUGAUAGGCCACACGGGAACUGAGACACGGUCCAGACUCCUACGGGAGGCAGCAGUAGGGAAUCUUCCGCAAUGGGCGAAAGCCUGACGGAGCAACGCCGCGUGAGUGAUGAAGGUCUUCGGAUCGUAAAACUCUGUUAUUAGGGAAGAACAUAUGUGUAAGUAACUGUGCACAUCUUGACGGUACCUAAUCAGAAAGCCACGGCUAACUACGUG
rnacentral:rRNA from 1 species